rnacentral:rRNA from 1 species
GGCAUGGUUGUCGUCAGCUCGUGUCGUGAGAUGUUGGGUUAAGUCCCGCAACGAGCGCAACCCCUAUUGUUAGUUGCCAUCAUUCAGUUGGGCACUCUAGCGAGACUGCCGGUAAUAAACCGGAGGAAGGUGGGGAUGACGUCAAAUCAUCAUGCCCCUUAUGACCUGGGCUACACACGUGCUACAAUGGUUGGUACAACGAGUUGCGAGUCGGUGACGGCGAGCUAAUCUCUUAAAGCCAAUCUCAGUUCGGAUUGUAGGCUGCAACUCGCCUACAUGAAGUCGGAAUCGCUAGUAAUCGCGGAUCAGCACACCGCGGUGAAUACGUUCCCGGGCCUU